rnacentral:siRNA from 1 species
CUAGGAUGGGUGACCUCCUGG